CCUACGGGGGGCAGCAGUCGAGAAUCAUUCACAAUGGGGGAAACCCUGAUGGUGCGACGCCGCGUGGGGGAAUGAAGGUCUUCGGAUUGUAAACCCCUGUCAUGUGGGAGCAAAUUAAAAAGAUAGUACCACAAGAGGAAGAGACGGCUAACUCUGUGCCAGCAGCCGCGGUAAUACAGAGGUCUCAAGCGUUGUUCGGAAUCACUGGGCGUAAAGCGUGCGUAGGCUGUUUCGUGAGUCGUGUGUGAAAGGCGCGGGCUCAACCCGCGGACGGCACAUGAUACUGCGAGACGAGAGGAAUGGAGGGGGAACCGGAAUUCUCGGUGUAGCAGUGAAAUGCGUAGAUAUCGAGAGGAACACUCGUGGCGAAGGCGGGUUCCUGGACAUUAACUGACGCUGAGGCACGAAGGCCAGGGGAGCGAAAGGGAUUAGAUACCCCUGUAGUC
rnacentral:rRNA from 1 species